AGUGGAAGUGGAGACACACAGGCAUGCCACAGAUGUACCUCAGAAUUUGGGAGAAUUACUUUCUAGGAAACUGCAACCUUAUUAUAUUGAGAAUGGACUGGAAAACAGACUAAACAGGACUUCGCUGAUGCUAAAAUAAAAUGAAAGGGGAGCAGCACUUUUUUUGCAAUAGGAAGAACAAAAGGAUUGCCGUUGAAGAGAAAUCCUGCUAUGAAGCAGCAAGGAAAGAAAGCCAGGAGCAUGGCAGCACUAAAACCUAUGCAAGGGAGGAAAUCUGCUUUCUUUUCAGAUCACUGAAAAUGAUACAUGGUGGUUUCUUUUUUCCUCCCUGGGGCCACAGGUGAAGGAAACCAAUGAGAAUGCCAAGAGAAAAGAGAAUCAGGCACCAUUCCAGAGGGAGGAUUCUACUUUCAAAUGAUAUCAGAAAACCUAUGAAAUGCAUAACCUUGGUGCCCUGGAGAUGUGUUAAAAGGUUUAUUCAUAUAGGUAAAACUCCAUCUUAUACAUAUGAAUAACGGUUUCUUCUAGAAUCCUUUACAGAUUCUCUGUGCAGAAUAUAUGUUCUUGCUCUGUAGAGAUUAUUGGAACCAGUAAUACUGUUUUCUGCUCUCAAGGAAGUUGCUGCCUUCCUUGCCACAAGCAGGAUGGCUUUGUGCUGUAUAUUCAGCAGUGCCAUUUAUUGAUCAUGGCUCGGUACCCACAAAAUUUUAGAAAUUCCUUUAAAAGCAUCUAUCAUAUGAACUUUAUUUUAUUUGCUUUUUCAGGACUUUAGGUGAACCACAUAUUCAAACUUAAAUGAUCCAGAGAUCCCCAGCACUGACAUACUGGGCCAUUUUGUUUGUUUGUUUGAAACCAACAGCAGGCGCUCAUGCUACUGGCAUUAUAAACUCUCCUCAUUUUCUAAAGCAACUUGUCAAGGAGAUGCUUUAGAGUAAAAAUAAUCAGAGGCCUCUGAAUCAUGGCUUUAUCUGCAAACCAUAAGGCUACAUUUUAUCUGAACACAAAAAUUACUUGGCAGGAUGAGAUCAUGGUCCAUCUAGUAAACAAUCUGUUUCUAACAGUGGCUGGUCUUUGGAAGCUAACAAACAGGAUAUAAAGAUGAUGGCCUAACCACUUUGUUUAUCUCCGGUAUCCGAUACUUAAAGGCAGAGUUGGGACAUAGCAAAGUCUGCAAAUUACGUUCCCAAUGAAAGUAUGAAGUACACAAUUUUACUUCUCAAAACCAGUUCCUGACUUGCCUGAGAUUCUCCACCCCAGCUUGUCACUGACAAUUGAAGCUGGGCAGAGAAUCCAGGGGUGAUUUUGGAGCCUGGACCUAAAGGCCUUUGAAGCCCACCCCCUCCCCCGGAGGCCCCACCUACAAGUUAACCAUCAUCACCUAAAGGCCUCUGGAGCCCCCCCUCCCCCCGUGUUAAGCAUCAUCAUCCCCCCCACACACACCAUGACACAUGCAUUACUUUUUAACACAUGAAUUAUUGAUGGCACAAAUAGCAAUUGAACUCACAAUAAUGUAAGAACAUAAACAGGUAUAUUUCUGCAAAUGAUGUUAAUUAGCUCUUUCUCUUUUGCAAUUCUUCUCAAAACUUCCUCAUUGGUAAUUCUAUCUACCCAUGAUAUUCUUAAUACAUCAAUAUACCCAGAGCUCAAAAGAAUCACUUUGUCCAUAUUCUGUUUCCAAGCUUCCAUUCCGUAAAGCAAACAGAUGCAACACCUCACCAUUCGAAUUUUCAGUUCUAUACUGAAAUCCCUAUUACGAUGUUUCAUUUUAACAAAAGCUGCUCUUGCCACUUCAAUCCUGGUGUUUAUUUCUUAUGUACUGUCAUUGUGUUCAUUUAACCAUGUUCCCAAGUAUUUAUAAUGUGAAGCUCUUUUAAUUCGGGUGUUGUUGAUUGCUGGAUUUGUUGCAAUGGGAAGUCCUUUGCUGAUGACCAUAUACUUAGUUUUUCGCAAAUUCAUUCUCAACUAUAUUCCUUUGACCCCAAAGCACAACUCCAACUACUCACCACAUAUGAGUGUGGUGAAUGUGAUAUGAAGCUAGGAUGUAACUGCUUCUCUCUCUCUCUCUUUUAUGAAGCUUCAAUAAAAUAACACUA